rnacentral:rRNA from 1 species
GGAGACUUCGGUCUCUAAGUAAAGCGGCGAAUGGGUGAGUAUCGCGUGGGCAAUCUGCCCUCGAGACCGGGACAACCUGGCGAAAGCCGGGCUAAUACCGGAUAAGCCCACGGGGGCUUCGGCUCCUGUGGGAAAAGGGUGCCCUCUCCAUGGAAGGUACCGCUCGAAGAUGGGCCCGCGUCCGAUUAGCUUGUUGGUGAGGUAACGGCUCACCAAGGCCGAGAUCGGUAGCUGGUCUGAGAGGAUGAUCAGCCACACUGGGACUGAGACACGGCCCAGACUCCUACGGGAGGCAGCAGUGGGGAAUAUUGCGCAAUGGGGGAAACCCUGACGCAGCAACGCCGCGUGAGUGAUGAAGGCCCUUGGGUCGUAAAGCUCUGUCGGGUGGGACGAAUGGCCGCGGGUGAAUAACCCGUUGGCUUUGACGGUACCGCCAAAGGAAGCACCGGCUAACUCCGUGCCAGCAGCCGCGGUAAUACGGAGGGUGCGAGCGUUGUUCGGAAUUACUGGGCGUAAAGAGCUUGUAGGCGGCUUGUUAAGUCUGAUGUGAAAGCCCUCGACUCAACCGGGGAAGUGCAUUGGAUACUGGCGAGCUUGAGUAUGGGAGAGGAGAGCGGA